GACGAACGCUGGCGGCGUGCUUAACACAUGCAAGUCGAACGGAAAGGCCCUGCUUGCGGGGUACUCGAGUGGCGAACGGGUGAGUAACACGUGGGUGAUCUGCCCUGCACUUCGGGAUAAGCCUGGGAAACUGGGUCUAAUACCGGAUAGGAGCCAUUUUUAGUGUGAUGGUUGGAAAGUUUUUUCGGGGUAGGAUGAGCGCGCGGCCUAUCAGCUUGUUGGUGGGGUAAUGGCCUACCAAGGCGGCUAAGGGUAGCCGGCCUGAGAGGGUGGACGGCCAAAUUGGGACUGAGAUACGGCCCAGACUCCUACGGGAGGCAGCAGUGGGGAAUAUUGCACAAUGGGCGCAAGCCUGAUGCAGCGACGCCGGGUGGGGGAUGACGGGCUUCGGGUUGGAAACUCCUUUCGCUAGGGACGAAGCUUUUUGUGACGGUACCUAGAUAAGAAGCACCGGCUAACUACGUG
rnacentral:rRNA from 1 species